AUACAUAGGUUAACGAGGCGAACCGGGGGAACUGAAACAUCUAAGUACCCCGAGGAAAAGAAAUCAACCGAGAUUCCCCCAGUAGCGGCGAGCGAACGGGGAGCAGCCCGGAGUCUGAAUCAGCUUGUGUGUUAGUGGAACGGUCUGGAAAGUCCGACGGUACAGGGUGAUAGUCCCGUACACGAAAGCACACAUGCUGUGAACUCGAAGAGUAGGGCGGGACACGUGGUAUCCUGUCUGAAUAUGGGGGGACCAUCCUCCAAGGCUAAAUACUCCUGACUGACCGAUAGUGAACCAGUACCGUGAGGGAAAGGCGAAAAGAACCCCGGCGAGGGGAGUGAAAAAGAACCUGAAACCGUGUACGUACAAGCAGUGGGAGCCUCUUUAUGGGGUGACUGCGUACCUUUUGUAUAAUGGGUCAGCGACUUAUAUUCUGUAGCAAGGUUAACCGUAUAGGGGAGCCGAAGGGAAACCGAGUCUUAACUGGGCGUUAAGUUGCAGGGUAUAGACCCGAAACCCGGUGAUCUAGCCAUGGGCAGGUUGAAGGUUGGGUAACACUAACUGGAGGACCGAACCGACUAAUGUUGAAAAAUUAGCGGAUGACCUGUGGCUGGGGGUGAAAGGCCAAUCAAACCGGGAGAUAGCUGGUUCUCCCCGAAAGCUAUUUAGGUAGCGCCUCGUGAACUCAUCUUCGGGGGUAGAGCACUGUUUCGGCUAGGGGGCCAUCCCGGCUUACCAACCCGAUGCAAACUACGAAUACCGAAGAAUGUUAUCACGGGAGACACACGGCGGGUGCUAACGUCCGUCGUGAAGAGGGAAACAACCCAGACCGCCAGCUAAGGUCCCAAAGUCAUGGUUAAGUGGGAAACGAUGUGGGAAGGCACAGACAGCCAGGAUGUUGGCUUAGAAGCAGCCAUCAUUUAAAGAAAGCGUAAUAGCUCACUGGUCGAGUCGGCCUGCGCGGAAGAUGUAACGGGGCUAAACCAUGCACCG
rnacentral:rRNA from 1 species